GGGCGGCUAACUCAGUGGUUAGAGUGCCAUCUUCACACGGUGGAAGUCGGGGGUUCGAAUCCCUCGCCGCCCA
rnacentral:tRNA from 1 species